GCGGGGUGACGGCGGGCGCGCGCGCGCCGCACCUGUCACACACACACAGCGCCCGCCCCGCCCCUCUGCGGGGUCCCCCGCCCCGCGCUCCAGGGGCCGCCCCGCCCGGCCCCUCACGGGCUGGCCCCUCACGGCCGGUCCCGAUCCUAGUCCUGCCGCCUGCCCCCGGUACCUCCCGGUACCCGCGGCUGAGUCACCGCGCCGCCGCCUUGUGCCUCCCGCCACCGCCUCACCUCGGCCCGAGUAUGUAGGAGCUGUGUGCUGGUGCCGGGGAGCCGAGCGAAGCGUCUCAGCAGCUCACCCGGUGGCAUUAUGGCACCCGUUCCUGGUCUCCAGAGGUUUCACUAAAGCACUGAAUCCCCAGGUCCCCACAUGCGAUCCUUUCCCGGGUCGGGUAACAGCCAUCUCCCUCAGGCAGUGCCUGGAUCUGGCCAUCGCACGCUGACAGGGCGCCUCAGUGUACCUGGGUCAAGGCAGGAUGGCAACAAACUAACUGUGGCAAAACUGAAAAUACAUAAACCCUACAAUAUUUCCUACCACUCAAAAAUAAUUUUAAAAGUAUUAUCUGAAAGGAGGAAUCACAGACAAUUGGCCUGGAAAGUCUCUCUGAGAUAACCGCUGGCCCAGCAGCACUUGGCCAGCCAGACCCUGGCACCGAGUGCCGCGUUCAGUUUUCCUUUAAACACCUCCAGGGACGGUGACUCCACCACCUCCCCAGGCUGCCUGUUCUAAUCACCCUUUCUGUGAAGAAAUUCCUCCUAAUGUCCAACCUAAACCUCCCCAUACAGCUCAAGACUCUGUCCUCUUGUUCUGCCACUAAUUGCCAGGGAAAAGAGCCCAACUUGCACCUGGCUACAACCUCCUUUCAGGCUGACCUUUCCAAGGGCAGCAGCAGGCAAGGUUCACAUACUCUCCCUCUUUCUCUCUCGAGGAUCUUGUUUUUUGGAUCCUGCUCCAGCUGGACACCACAAGAGCUAAAGUCUACCAGUCUUCUAGGUACAAUGCAAGACUUUUAUUUAGUUUAAUGACACUUUUUAUUCCUGAGAUUACAGACACCAUGGUUGCUAACAUGCAUGGAUACAGCUAGAAUGGCUUUUACUCCUCCUCCAUACAGUUUGUUUUUGCAGUGCUGACUACCUUGCAGCUCUGGCAGUGGACAUUCAUCAUCUCCAUAAAGUUUAAACUUUUCUCAGUUUUUAAUUGAAAUCUGCUACAUUUCUUCAGCUGCAAUAGUUAAAGAAACUGUCUUUAUGGGGAAAUUAAUCACAACAGGUACAGCAGGUUAAGCUCUCCUAUAAUUAAAUAUUUUGAAAUAAUUUCUAUGUAGAUAUUCUAUCCCAUAGUAAAACGGAACAGAAUUCUGGAUUGCUAAUUCUAGUCAAUUUUUGAACCAAACAGAUCAGUGGUAUUUUUCCCUGUUGUGCUGACAAAGUAUUAUUUCUCUCUUUCUUGUUCUAACACAGCUUAACAUCUAAGCUGUUGCCUCUAACAGGAUUUUAGCACUAACAGUUCGUUUCUUAACACUUUUAUAUUGCUUCAUCUUACUUUUUUCUCACCUAGCUGCUUUUGGCCCUGAACAAGUAACACACCUGUGAGACAGAAGCCCUGCUGCUUUAGACAGUGAAGGUGCUCAGCUUUGGCACCAAUUAGCCACCUGAAUUUGGGGCACACUGGACACAUUAGUCAGAAAUUAUCUCCUUAAAAUCUGGAUCAACAGCUAAACCCUUCAAACCUCCCUCUGCUGCUGUGGCUCCCUAUCUUGGUCGUGUAAUACAGCUGCCCUGAUGACUUUCCUGCUUAAUUUAAAACACUUCCAGCCAGAGCAGAAAUGGUCACUGCUAAAUCACUACAAAAAUACAGAUUAAUCCAUGCUGUGUGCUGGGAGGUGUGAUCCCUAUCACACAAAAAAAGAGGCCGUCCCCAGAGCUAAGGGACUUACUUGGCACCACAGAAGGUGCAUUUUUCAGUCCCACAGUGAGAAUUCAGAAGGGUUUAGAUCUUAGGCAACCAUAGAUCUGUGCUGUCCCUUUCAGAAAGGUGAAAUCCCCUGUUAACUUAAAGAAUUUGUGUGCAGCUGGACCCGGGUGUGGAAGGUAAGAAAUUGUUCUAAAUAACAGCUCCUUCACAGUUAUAUUCAAGAUGGCAGAAGCUGAGCAAAUUCAGGUCCUGUGAUAUUGUGUGCUGUAUCAGGGCAAAAUAUUCUCCCCUGUCAGCAGUUAGCUGCUCUUAAGCCAGACACUGGAAAAGGCCAGGCUGCUUCUGCCAGUGUGUCACACAGCCCCUUCUGGAAAAACAAAACAGAAAAAAACCCCAAACCAACAAACACAAACAAAACCCCCAAACCAGUAUUUUCCAGGAUAUUACUCAGCAGGACCUUUUUUCUUUUCUGUAACUACACUGCAAACUUCCACAAAAUUGUAACUCAUCCUUGAAGAUUUCUGCCCCUUUCACUUGCUCCAUCUCCUUUCUGCAAUGAUUCCAUUCUAGAAUUUGGGAGCCUGAUUCAAAAUUUGCCUUUUCACUGCUUCUCAGGAAUAUGGGUUUGCAGAUGGGAGGACAGUAAUGGAAGCUGAGGAGCAAACCCUGGCUACUGUGAGCCAUCAGAGUUUGUCUAAGUCUCCGGCAGAGAUGUGCACCUGAAUUUCUUUUCACAGGCUUCAGCAAAUUCAGGAAUUCCAUUUUCAGCUAAAAUAUAAAGAACAGACUAUGGAUACAUGCCCUGACUGCAGCACGUUUUCUGCUGAUUUAUUGACUGUGCAUAAAUACUGCACUAUAACUGUCAUAUUUAACUACAAAAAGAGAGAGCUGUGUGCUCAAGAAGAUAAUUCAGGGCAACUCUGAGGUUUUUCAUCUGUCUUCUACGUACUUCAGAAAAAGCAGCCACUUAGCAAAGGGGCAGAGUCCAGCCAUCCUGAUUUUCUCCCCUUCUCCCUCAGACAUGUUAACCCUUUGCUGUUCACAAGGUUUGCUCUUCCUGCAAAGUUUUUAUGCAAGCACAGCUAAUACUGCCCAGAGUCCAAAGGUGAAAGCCAGAUCCACAGCCUGCAUAACAGCAGACAGUUUAAUUUCCAUUUUGCUUUAAAGACCAGUGAGAAGGGGAUGAGGAAGCGAUUGGUUGCCUAAGAUGGGGGAUCGUUUUGCAAUACUGGUAGAUAAGCAAAAUUCUGACAAAAUGUCUCCGAGGAGACAUAAAAUGAACCCACGAAGCAGCACUUUGAACAGCAAAGCGAGCCAGAACAGAUUUCCAGAUAGGCAAGGCUUUCCAUAUGAGAACAGGUUUCAAAGUCCAAGAGUCUCUCCAAAGAAGAAACAACAUUCAGAAUAAAAGUUUGAAAAAUAUUCUGGCUGCUGAAAAAGAAACUGAAACCUUCUCAUGUUUAGCAAACUGGAGAAUUGUGUUACUCUAAACCUCAGAAGAAAAAAAAAAUUAAAAUUGUGCACAUACCUAUACAGGGAGAUACAAAACCGAAAGUGUGUGCUUCAGCCUAGUGCAUGUUUGUAAUCCAACAGCAAAUAACAUCAGAUUAAUGACCCCAGCCCCAAGCCCCCAUAUGUCCUGCCAAGCUCUCCCCUAGGAAAGAUUUAUCUCUUGCUGAUAAACAAUGGGAGACAACAGAGCUUGUUCUUGGGGGGUAAGAGAAAGGGAGAGGGAUUUGUGGCCGAGACAGGAGCCUUGCAUCAGGCAGUCACAGCCACGGGAAGCAGGGGCUCACGGGCAGGGGAUGCUCCGACUGUAGGUGCAGUGGAAUUGACAGCCAGCCAAGAACUGCGUGAAAUUCCCCGUUACUUCCUUUUACUGGUCUUAUGCUAAGUGUUGCUAAGCUGUACCUGGGAAUCAGGCCAAAUCAGCUUGGGAUCUUUGGAUGAAAGGCAUUUAAAAAGAAAGGGGGGGGAAAAAAAGAAACAGUAUUAGCAAUGUGGAAAGCAACAAUUUGAAUUAAAUUAAUGCACCAGUGGCAGGAUUUGGAUUUUAUUACUUUCUACAAUGUGAAAUAUAAAGACAGACUAAAAAAUUGCCACUUCUGAGGAAAACUAUAUCCUUCUGCCUGGGUUCCUGUGAGGAAGAGUCAUAAAAGCAGCAUACCAGAACUGAAACCUGAAAAUACAUAUGUUUAAAUAGACUAGAGCCAACAGGGACUGGUUAGGAGAGUCGCUUUCCCAGGCUAUGCUGCAGAUUUGUGCCACCAAGAGAGAGGCUCACACUGUUUCAUCUAUUACCUAUCAGCAUUUAUUUUGUAGCAAAGAAUACUCAUGGGCUGGGGACCUGCUCUGAACUGACAGGAUUUAUCAUAAAGCAAAAGCCACAUUUGGCUGUUUCAUUUCUGGACACAGUUAUGAUUUUUUACUAUAGACAUGGCUUGCCUGCAACAGAAAUUCUCCCUUGCAGAGUUCAAAGUAUCUCCCACAGAGAAAGUUUAGCUAACCUGCCUGCACUCCACGUGCUGCUUGUGCCUGAUCCGAAGCAGACCAGACCCUGCUGGAAGCCUCAGCCCUCUGAUUUCAGCUCAGCAAGUCACCUUUCACCCCUCACCAUCAUUUCACUGCACUGGGAGCACCAGCUGUCCCUCACUGGCGUGGCAUCUUGUGUCUUAAUAAAAUUGGGGACAGUCUCCAAAAUAUUAAUGGGACACCACUCCAUUAACUCUGUGCUGAGGGCACCUAAAAUAACUUAUUGGUCCCAAACAGUAAAUAUGAUUAUUUAGGGAUGAAUAUUAACAUUUCCAACAUAUCCUUAACAGAUCAUCAUCAUCUUACAGAAAGCAAACACUUCCAUGACAUGAAUAUGUUUAUCAUUAUUUAGUUGUUUAAUUAUCAUUGCAUUUUACUAUAAGCAAUUUUCACAAAAUAUUUUUCCCCUCAAAGGAAUCCCAUAUUUAAUCCUAAUGACUGUUUAUUAAAGAGAGUUACAAAAGCAGACAGAAUGAUCUACUUGGAACACAAGGUGCCACGUGAGCACUCACUGGUUCUGUUACAGACCUUCACCAGCAUUUUCCAUGGGUACCCAACUUUCCUACCUUGUUUCCCCAGUUGCACAAGUGCUAAUUUUGUUGUUGCCACUAUUAAAAAAAAAAAAGCUUAAAAUUGUAUCAGCCCUGCCCUGUAGUUCUCACCAGCUAAUUUCAGCCAUGAUCCAAUCAGUGAGUGUAACAAACAAGACAAAGAGGUGGGACAGGAUGGAAAGGCCCAAGCAGCAGUGGGGACUUAGCAGGAAACUCAGCAAAAAUCAAGUGCAUGAGAAAAUGAAACCAAGAUCUUUUCAUUCUUCAAUAUUUUUUUAAAAUUUUUUUUUUAGAUAGACAAUGAUGAAGAAGAAGAAGUGAAAGCUCCU